ensembl:rRNA 5S_rRNA 5S ribosomal RNA
GCCUAUGGCCAUACCACCCUGAAGCGCCCGAUCUCGUCUGAUCUCGGAAGCUAAGCAGGGACGGGCUUGGUUAGUACCUGGAUGGGAGACCGCCUGGGAAUACCAGGUGUUGUAGGCU